UUUUUAUUUCUGUUGAUAUAUAGCUUAGAGUGUUUAUAUGGUUCAGUAUUUUUAUUACAUUUGAAAAUAUGGAUUUUUGUGAAUGUAAUAAACGGAUUUGUGGAUUUUGUAAAAUGGAAAGAUUUUCUACCCCUCGUGGUAGCGUUUUUAAAAGAUAAAAGCUCCUGUGUAGGGAACAGUUUUCAAAAGGUUUUCUGUGGAUUUUAUAUCUUAGUAUUUCAAAACCUGUUUCUGUGGUUGGAAACAUUUUAACUGAUAGAUGUGGAUUUAUGUUUAAAUAUUGAAUGUAUAAAUGUGAAACUGUGGUGAAUGGUGUAUGAAUGUAUAACUGUUGGUUAUUUGUAUGUUCAUCUGUUGUGGUUGUAUCAUGUUUGAACUCUUGUA
rnacentral:lncRNA from 1 species